GCCGGGCGCGGUGGCGGGCGCCUGCAGUCCCAGCUACUCGGGAGGCUGAGGCAGGAGAAUGGCGUGAACCCGGGAGGCAGAGCUUGCAGUGAGCCGAGAUAGCACCACUGCAGUCCGGCCUGGGAGAAAGAGUGAGACUCCGUCUCAAUAAUAAUAAUAAUAAUUUUUUUUAUUGAUAGAUAUAUUUUUUGAGACAGAGUUUUGCUCUAGUUGCCCAGGCUGGAGUGCAAUGGCACGACCUCGGCUCACUGCAACCUCUGCCUCCUGGGUUCAAGUGAUUCUCCUGCCUCA
ensembl:misc_RNA RN7SL850P RNA, 7SL, cytoplasmic 850, pseudogene